GUGCCAGCCGCCGCGGUAAUACGGAAGGUCCGGGCGUUAUCCGGAUUUAUUGGGUUUAAAGGGAGCGCAGGCCGGAGAUUAAGCGUGACGUGAAAUGUAGGUGCUCAACAUCUGAAUUGCGUCGCGAACUGGUUUCCUUGAGUGCAGUCGACGUCAGCGGAAUUCGUGGUGUAGCGGUGAAAUGCUUAGAUAUCACGAAGAACCCCGAUUGCGAAGGCAGCUGACGAGAGUGUAACUGACGCUAAAGCUCGAAAGUGCGGGUAUCGAACAGGAUUAGAUACCCUGGUAGUCCGCACGGUAAACGAUGGAUGCCCGCUGUUUGCGAUACACAGUAAGCGGCCAAGCGAAAGCGUUAAGCAUCCCACCUGGGGAGUACGCCGGCAACGGUGAAACUCAAAGGAAUUGACGGGGGCCCGCACAAGCGGAGGAACAUGUGGUUUAAUUCGAUGAUACGCGAGGAACCUUACCCGGGCUUGAACUGCAGGAGAACGAUCCAGAGAUGGUGAGGUCCUUCGGGACUCCUGUGGAGGUGCUGCAUGGUUGUCGUCAGCUCGUGCCGUGAGGUGUCGGCUUAAGUGCCAUAACGAGCGCAACCCCUCUCGUCAGUUGCCAUCAGUUUAAGCUGGGCACUCUGGCGACACUGCCACCGUAAGGUGUGAGGAAGGUGGGGAUGACGUCAAAUCAGCACGGCCCUUACGUCCGGGGCUACACACGUGUUACAAUGGGUGAUACAGAGCGUCAGCGGCCGGCAACGUCCGUUCAAUCGUGAAAGUCAUCCUCAGUUCGGAUUGGGGUCUGCAACCCGACCCCAUGAAGCUGGAUUCGCUAGUAAUCGGCGCAUCAGGCCAUGGCGCGGUGAAUACGUUCCCGGGCCUUGUACACACCGCCCGU
rnacentral:rRNA from 1 species